rnacentral:rRNA from 1 species
GACGAACGCUGGCGGCGUGCCUAACACAUGCAAGUCGAGCGAGUGGAGUUCUUCGGUACAAAGCUAGCGGCGGACGGGUGAGUAACACGUGGGCAACCUGCCUCAUAGAGGGGAAUAGCCUUCCGAAAGGGAGAUUAAUACCGCAUAAUAUAUACUGGUAGCAUUAACGGUAUAUCAAAAGAGAAAUCCGCUAUGAGAUGGGCCCGCGGCGCAUUAGUUAGUUGGAGGGGUAACGGCUCACCAAGGCGACGAUGCGUAGCCGACCUGAGAGGGUGAUCGGCCACAUUGGAGCUGAGACACGGUCCAGACUCCUACGGGAGGCAGCAGUGGGGAAUAUUGCACAAUGGGGGAAACCCUGAUGCAGCAACGCCGCGUGAAUGAUGACGGCCUUCGGGUUGUAAAGUUCUUUGAUUGGGGACGAAAAUGACGGUACCCAAAAAACAAGCCACGGCUAACUACGUGCCAGCCGCCGCGGUAACAC